GAUAAAAGACACAGACCUAACAUGUACAUGUGUACAGGCCAAUAAAGCGACGACCGUCCUUGGCAUACCGGCGGUUUCUUUGCUCGAUAGGGUUUCUACCUCCCGGCGUUCCUUUGAUCGUUCAGCGAUCGAUCUCGUUCUUUUCCCCGUCGGCGGUUUUUCUUAUCGUGAGGGUUUUUUUCUUCGCGUCGUUUCGUUGAUCAUUCAGCGUUCUCGUUCGCCUUGGAUUGCAGGAUAUGUACUCCCGGAAGCCGAAGGAGGAUGGAUGGCGCCCCUGGAGUGCUUUCAAGGGCCCUUAGACCGACGAGGAGUUAAAUUUUUACCGAUUAGACUAAUGUAACAUCGGAUUCAACCAUCAACGGUGCCGUAUGGUUUGCUCUAGGGUUCGACGUUACGGUUCUUGAUUGGAGCUGCAACCUAACGCAGUUUUCAGCAAGAGUUCGAAGUUUUGGUGCCAAAGUGGGGUGGGGUUGGAGGGGCCAAACGAGGAUUACAUCCCAUUUUUGGCAUGUGGGGGACUUGGGCCCCCAAGUUCUUCAGAGGGUCGGUGUUACAAGCCUUUGGUUCCUGUACAGCCUUUGACAGCGCCGCCUUCACAUUGACAAGCUCUUUCUUAAUUCUGGUAUGUAACCUCUCUCACUUUCUUUCCUGGAUAAUGGAAGUAGGUUCAGUAGCAUUGUUAAAUUUUUGUGCAUCUGCUCCUGACCACUGAAGCAGUAAAAAGUUGCAAACGUAGAGUUUUGGGCACAGCCUAAAUGCAUGGUGCCAAUGGGAAUCGAACGAGUAAGUUCUCAGGCUUCAAUUUUUUUCUGUCAUCAAUUUAUUGAUUGUUUCCGGUUUCCACAUCGAAAGAUAAAGGAGGAAAAAAAAAAGUGUUAUUUUCUGCAGUGUUAGUAAUCGAUUCCUGGGAGAUUGAGAACUCAGGAGUCGUGGAAGAACAAAAUGGUAGAACUGCUGUUUAUAGAGUGAGAAGGCGGAUUGGGGGUAUACUUUGUGGUAUAAAAGAGCAAACAGAAAAUUGCUGGUUCAGCUGUAGUAAAUCGUGGAGUUUGCAUGGCGAGUCUAGCACGACCUCCUCGACGAGGAGUUGAGGAACUUGAUGCAGUCUUCGAUGGCCUCCGACAGGUGAGUCUCUUCAGGAGCAGCGAACCUCUGUGGAGUCAUGCUGGAAGAAACCUUGGACGGUGGCUGCCGCCGGCUUCCGGAGAUGAAGUCUAAGGCCCUCGACGUUUUGCGGAAGAAUCGUAUAGCUGAGAGGCGUGCGCUGUUGAGUAGCCGAGAUGAGAAGCCCCUGCGUCCGCGAUCCUCCUCCUGAUCCCCGAAAUGGAUGUCGGACGUUCGAGAGACCGUCGGCUUCGCAUGGAUAUUGCUGUCGAGGCUGAAGCCGACGCUCCUCUCGCUCUUGUUCAACAUAUGAUCUGGCGUCCAAGAACGGACUUGCCGUAGGAGGGCAGGCGGCGAGACAUUUAUGGCGAGGCUUCCGCACUGUGCCAAGAGAACACCAAAGGGAAAGGGAAAAAAGAGAGCGUUGAAGAGACUACAGAGAAGGAAGUGGGUUGGACUGUCAGUGAGCAGACGGUGCCUGCCUGCCUGCUCGCUUGAUGGAAGAGACUGGCAUCAGUGGUGGACUAAAAGUGGGCGUCGUUGUGGAACACUGACUGGGCUGGUAUAUACUUGGAGUCAUGCUUUGGUCGAUGGCACGAGAAUCUUAUCAGCCUAGAAGCAAGCGAAAGCCCAAAGCCCCCAGAGGAGAAGGGGACGGUCAGAGAGGAAAGGGUCGUGAUACUUUCACGAGACGAUCUCAUUUCUUUUGAGGUGCGCACCCGCCCCAUUCCCCUCCCCCUCUUCUUUCUGAAAUGGCGUGCAUCGAUUUCAAAGCUUCCAUGGUGCGAGAGCGCUUUGGGUCCAUGGGCAAGACAAUCAUUUUGCCGGGGCUUACUGCAUAAAGCCUUGUGAGUUUCUUACUACAUGCAGUUUAACGUACGGUAUGAUGAAUCGGAUCCAUCUCGCGUUCGUACAUCAUCAGUGUCUCGAGCAUGAUGGGGGUACGUACCUGUUACGAAACACAGAUGUGCCUGUGUAUGAGAGUCAUGUUAAGCAGAUCAAAUCCCAACGGGUUAGGCCCAUGUGGUCGAACAUCUGAUCAUAGGGGAGGUUAUCGGUCGGAUUUCUCUACUUUUUUUCUCUUUGGUUCAGUGUCGAGUGUCGAUGUUGGACUGGGUGUUUGACCAUGUGGGUACGAGGAGCAGGCAUAAAGAAAACGGAUGGGUUACAUCAGGUAUCUGAAAAAGGGGGAGGAAAAGAAAACUCAUUAAUAUGACUAGUGAUUAAAAACAAAAAUACUAGUAUGACUAGGGAGAUCAUGAAAUUGUUUCGUUUCGUUAUGUGACUAGGGAGGUCAUCAACAUCUAUCUAUAUAGUUGACGCCAACUGAACUGACACAAGGUUAUUUGUUAUUAUCAUUGAUCUUCUACUAGGAUGAUUUGGGGAGCUGAAGUACAUGGUUGUUCUACGAAUUGUAUUCCUCCUUUUAUAAGUUUGAUUCAUGUAUUCCUUCAUUCACAUGCGGUGUUUAAUAAUCAAUUGCUUUUUGUUCUCUAAUGGCAUCUUGGCCAUGGCCAUGCGCAUUGAUGGUAUCUAUUGCUUUUCCCUGUAAAAUUUUUUACAUAAUUUUCUCAUUGGACUAAGUAAGGAUUUCUUGUUUAAAAAAAAAAAAAAGGGAGAACGAGCUGUAUAUUUCGCUUUGUUGUCAAAUAAAAAAGGUCACAAAGUGGGCUCCGCACUUCCAACGGAGCGAGUCACCCGUGAUAUCCCCUCGGCGCAUUAUUUAAUGCCUAACGACCUUUGCCGCCGCCUCUGGCAUAUUUAAAAUCAAAUGUGCGCGCGUCGCAUAAUACGCGUACAACAAGCUAGUUUAGAGAACGGAACAUCGAAAGAGGCAGGUCGUGUGUCCGAACGAGUGUAGGCUGAAAGAGAGAGAGAGAGAGAGAGAGAGAGAGAGAGCGGGUAUAACAUAACAUGUAUCGAGAGAUGCCGACGCCGUCUCCAAACCCCGUCGCCUGGCUCUCUCGGGCGAAACUCCUCCUCCUUGCGCGUCAGUUUUUUCUCCCUUUUCUAUGUGGGUUUCUUGGAUUUCCGUUCUUGCUUUCGUUCCUCUCUCUCUCUCUCUCUCUCUCUCUCUCUCUCGCUCGCUCGCUCGAGCCUACUUGAUAUCGUGAAAUCUUUGACGCUGCUCUUUCUUGGACGAGUUCUUUAUCUCGGCUUUGCGUUCCUGAAUUUGUUCCUAGUUAGCUUUCCUAGUAAUAUCUGUAUCGUAGCGCCAAUUGGCUUUUCGAGAUGGAAGCUGCGAUUGUACUUUAGGCCCGACUUAGCCCGAUCGGAGGAACCUUGACAGGCUGAAGAGCAAGUCGAAGGGUGUGUUCGACAUAAUUGAUGAUCGCCAAAACAGGAUAAUUAGCGUCCUCCAAAUAAAAUCGGGGAGUGAGGUGCUCGUUGUGACGAAAUCAUGAAGCGGGUGCCUCGGGAAUUCCAUGGUGCUAAAGUUAUUGGUUCAUGGAGGUAAUCAAACUUAAGGCUCCAGUUCUUGAUGUGUAUAAAUUGUCAUGUCCUAGUAACAAUUGAAGCUCGUCUUGUAGAGUAAAGUAUAUCGGUGAUGUAAUCAUGCUAGGCUUUUGUAAGAUUCUCUUCUUUAGGUCAGCCACACACAAGUUUACUUAAAGA